GUGGGGAAUCUUGCGCAAUGGGCGAAAGCCUGACGCAGCCAUGCCGCGUGAAUGAUGAAGGUCUUAGGAUUGUAAAAUUCUUUCACCGGGGACGAUAAUGACGGUACCCGGAGAAGAAGCCCCGGCUAACUUCGUGCCAGCAGCCGCGGUAAUACGAAGGGGGCUAGCGUUGCUCGGAAUUACUGGGCGUAAAGGGCGCGUAGGCGGAUCGUUAAGGCAGGGGUGAAAUCCCAGAGCUGAACUCUGGAACUGCCCUUGAUACUGGCGAUCUUGAGUGUGAGAGAGGUAUGUGGAACUCCGAGUGUAGAGGUGAAAAUCGUAGAUAUUCGGAAGAACACCAGUGGCGAAGGCGACAUACUGGCUCAUUACUGACGCUGAGGCGCGAAAGCGUGGGGAGCAAACAGGAUUAGAAACCCGGGUAGUCC
rnacentral:rRNA from 1 species